rnacentral:rRNA from 1 species
UAAGGAAUAUUGGUCAAUGGACGCAAGUCUGAACCAGCCAUGCCGCGUGAAGGAUUAAGGCCCUCUGGGUUGUAAACUUCUUUUAUAGGGGAAGAAUGUGACGGUUCUCCGUCACUUGACGGUACCCUGGGAAUAAGCACCGGCUAACUCCGUGCCAGCAGCCGCGGUAAUACGGAGGGUGCAAGCGUUAUCCGGAUUCACUGGGUUUAAAGGGUGCGUAGGUGGGCAGAUAAGUCAGUGGUGAAAUCUUCCGGCUUAACCGGGAAACUGCCGUUGAUACUAUUUGUCUUAAAUAUUGCGGAGGUAAGCGGAAUAUGUCAUGUAGCGGUGAAAUGCUUAGAUAUGACAUAGAACACCAAUUGCGAAGGCAGCUUACUACACAAUCAUUGACACUGGGACACGAAAGCGUGGGUAGCGAACA